GAUUACCUUAGUAACGGCGAGUGAAGCGGUAACAGCUCAAAUUUGAAAUCUGGGUCUUUUAGGCUCCGAGUUGUAAUUUGUAGAAGAUGCUUUGGGUGCGGCCCCGGUCUAAGUUCCUUGGAACAGGACGUCAUAGAGGGUGAGAAUCCCGUAUGUGAUCGGUGGCUUGCGCCCGUGUAAAGCUCUUUCGACGAGUCGGGUUGUUUGGGAAUGCAGCUCUAAAUGGGUGGUAAAUUUCAUCUAAAGCUAAAUAUUGGCCAGAGACCGAUAGCGCACAAGUAGAGUGAUCGAAAGAUGAAAAGCACUUUGGAAAGAGAGUUAAACAGUACGUGAAAUUGUUGAAAGGGAAGCGCUUGCAACCAGACUUGCGCGGGGUUGAUCAUCCGGGGUUCUCCCCGGUGCACUCGGCCUCGCUCAGGCCAGCAUCGGUUUUGGUGGUUGGAUAAAGGCCUUGGGAAUGUGACUUCUUUCGGGGAGUGUUAUAGCCCUCGGUGCAAUGCAGCCUACCGGGACCGAGGACCGCGCUUCGGCUAGGAUGCUGGCGUAAUGGUUGUAAGCGACCCGUCUUGAAACACGGACCAAGGAGUCUAACAUCUAUGCGAGUGUUUGGGUGUCAAACCCAUACGCGUAAUGAAAGUGAACGGAGGUGAGAACCCUUAAGGGUGCAUCAUCGACCGAUCCUGAUGUCUUCGGAUGGAUUUGAGUAAGAGCAUAGCUGUUGGGACCCGAAAGAUGGUGAACUAUGCCUGAAUAGGGUGAAGCCAGAGGAAACUCUGGUGGAGGCUCGCAGCGGUUCUGACGUGCAAAUCGAUCGUCAAAUUUGGGCAUAGGGGCGAAAGACUAAUCGAACCAUCUAGUAGCUGGGU
rnacentral:rRNA from 1 species